UCACUUACUGACUUAAGUACUCGUUGCCAAUCAAGAUAUAUUGUGCGUACAAAGGCUUCCGUUAUCUCGAGUAGUUUUUCGAUAUAAAAGUAGCGCGAAAGCAUUCACGGCUCUACAUCAGCGAGGACCAGAGAUCGUUCAACAGCCAAAAUCAAAGCGAAAAAAAUMUUUCUUUCGUAAAUCAACCAAUCACAAGAUGAACCGAGUAGCCCUAGUCCUCCUCCUCGUGUGUGUCAGCGCAGUCCUAAUGCCAAGUGACGUCAAGGCUUUCUUCAAAGCAGGACGUGAGUUCAGAGAAAGAGAGGCUUCUAGACAGUAUGGAAGUGAGCCACAAUAUGGUGUCGCAGACGACAGAGAACUAUGGGAAGCUCUGAUGAACGCUAGAAACUCUCAACAGAAACGAAACGUCCCAAAUAAACAAUAAAUCCACGCUUGGAUGAACUCCCAUCUUAUUUAUGCUAAGAAUAAAACCGAUAUCAGUUCACGUGAAAAUUCUAAUCCAUACCUGAUGUAAAUAGCUAAAAACAUCGUUGUGUUCGUUAGGGAAUUGCUUCAUAAAAUGUAAAAGAUUUUGUUGUUAGGGGUGUCGUUUUGACUAGACCCAGGCAAAGCCAGGAUUGCAGGACUAUCAUUAGUUGACAGGCUAUGACUUAUUUAUGUAAUAGUUGUAAGAAAACAAUGCACAACAGAGUUGUAAUAAACGUCUGAGAUACACAGA